GGUCCAGACACAGUGAGGAUUGACAGAUUGAGAGCUCUUUCUUGAUUCUGUGGGUGGUGGUGCAUGGCCGUUCUUAGUUGGUGGAGUGAUUUGUCUGCUUAAUUGCGAUAACGAACGAGACCUUAACCUGCUAAAUAGCCCGUACUGCUUUGGCAGUUCGCCGGCUUCUUAGAGGGACUAUCGGCUCAAGCCGAUGGAAGUUUGAGGCAAUAACAGGUCUGUGAUGCCCUUAGAUGUCCUGGGCCGCACGCGCGUUACACUGACAGAGCCAGCGAGUAUUUCCUUGGCCGGAAGGUCCGGGUAAUCUUGUUAAACUCUGUCGUGCUGGGGAUAGAGCAUUGCAAUUAUUGCUCUUCAACGAGGAAUCCCUAGUAAGCGCAAGUCAUCAGCUUGCGUUGAUUACGUCCCUGCCCUUUGUACACACCGCCCGUCGCUACUACCGAUUGAAUGGCUCAGUGAGGCCUUCGGACUGGCCCAGAGAGGUGGGCAACUACCACUCAGGGCCGGAAAGUUGUCCAAACUCGGUCAUUUAGAGGAAGUAAAAGUCGUAACAAGG
rnacentral:rRNA from 1 species